rnacentral:rRNA from 1 species
GGGAAGUAAAAGUCGUAACAAGGUCUCCGUUGGUGAACCAGCGGAGGGAUCAUUACCGAGUUUACAACUCCCAAACCCAAUGUGAACGUUACCAAACUGUUGCCUCGGCGGGAUCUCUGCCCCGGGUGCGUCGCAGCCCCGGACCAAGGCGCCCGCCGGAGGACCAACCAAAACUCUUUUUGUAUACCCCCUCGCGGGUUUUUUAUAAUCUGAGCCUUCUCGGCGCCUCUCGUAGGCGUCUCGAAAAUGAAUCAAAACUUUCAACAACGGAUCUCUUGGUUCUGGCAUCGAUGAAGAACGCAGCGAAAUGCGAUAAGUAAUGUGAAUUGCAGAAUUCAGUGAAUCAUCGAAUCUUUGAACGCACAUUGCGCCCGCCAGUAUUCUGGCGGGCAUGCCUGUCCGAGCGUCAUUUCAACCCUCGAACCCCUCCGGGGGGUCGGCGUUGGGGAUCGGCCCUGCCUCUUGGCGGUGGCCGUCUCCGAAAUACAGUGGCGGUCUCGCCGCAGCCUCUCCUGCGCAGUAGUUUGCACACUCGCAUCGGGAGCGCGGCGCGUCCACAGCCGUUAAACACCCAACUUCUGAAAUGUUGACCUCGGAUCAGGUAGGAAUACCCGCUGAACUUAAGCAUAUCAAUAAGCGGAGGA